UCCCGAAUGCACAUAAAAGUAAAGGUCCAGCCCGACUUUCAGAAAUGGACUGUUGUAGAUUUCAGAUUGAUUUCCAGAAAUAAAAAUCAUACAAAAAUGUUUCACCCAAAUAUUCGUCUUCAGACGUGUAAAGUUAUACAACGGUUACUAGCCGGUCUGGAUUGUGAUAAAAAGAAGCGCAUGCGAUGCAUAAAAUAUAUAAUGU
rnacentral:lncRNA from 1 species